CAGUCGCCACGGGAAUACGGAGGGAGCUAGCGUUGUUCGGAAUUACUGGGCGUAAAGCGCGCGUAGGCGGUUACUCAAGUCAGAGGUGAAAGCCCGGGGCUCAACCCCGGAACUGCCUUUGAAACUAGGUGACUAGAAUCUUGGAGAGGUCAGUGGAACUCCGAGUGUAGAGGUGAAAUUCGUAGAUAUUCGGAAGAACACCAGUGGCGAAGGCGACUGACUGGACAAGUAUUGACGCUGAGGUGCGAAAGCGUGGGGAGCAAACAGGAUUAGAUACCCCAGUAGUCCCUGUCUCUUAUAC
rnacentral:rRNA from 1 species